rnacentral:pre_miRNA from 1 species
GUGUUAUCAUGAGUUCCCUUCAAGCACUUCACGUGAGGCACCAUUCAAAUUACUCUUUAGUAGCUUCAUCUGCAAUGUGAAGUGUUUGGGGGAAUUCUUGGUGAUAC